UCUGUGCCCCUCAACAAUAAUAUUUAACUAUUAAUCACAGUUUUGCUAAAUAAAAGGAUCUGGCUUGCAUCAGUCACAUGAUCACCAUUAACCAAUGAUCGCCCUUGACGGCAGAACGCGCUGGUUACGAGCCGGGAACGAGCUCACAAAGAGCACGCGCAUUUUUUGCGGUCCGGAGCUGUAGGAGAAACACAAAUUACCUCAGACACACAGACUGAUGCGACAAAACCAACAUGGCUGGUAAGGACAUGAGGAGGAAACAGUAGGAGCUGUGUGAGGCUACUAAAGGCAGUGAAUCCCUCAGCAGCUGGAUUACAAAGAGCACAGUCUCAGAUCAACACAGCCCUGCCC